CAGCUCAAAUUUGAAAUCUGGCCCCAUGCGGUCCGAGUUGUAAUUUGCAGAGGAUCUUUUGCGAGGCGCCUUCCGAGUUCUGGAACGGACGCCGUAGAGGGUGAGAGCCCGUACGGUUGGUCGCCGAGCCUCUGUAAAGCUCCCUCGAAGAGUCGAGUAGUUUGGGAAUGCUGCUCUAAACGGGAGGUAAACCCCUUCUAAAGCUAAAUACUGGCCAGAGACCGAUAGAGCACAAGUAGAGUGAUCGAAGAUGAAAGCACUUGAAAGAGAGUUAAACAGCACGUGAAUUGUUAAAGGAAGCGCUUGUGACAACUUGCGUCGGCAGCUUAGCCUCGGGGCGGUGCACUCUGCCGCUCAGGCCAGCAUCAGUUCACGGUUGGGGAGAAAGGCGGCGGGAACGUGGCUCCUCGGAGUGUUAUAGCCCANCCUGACGCCCUUCUGUGGACCGAGGCUCGCGCUAAGGA
rnacentral:rRNA from 1 species